rnacentral:rRNA from 1 species
CCCUUAGAUGUUCUGGGCCGCACGCGUGCUACACUGAUGCAUUCAACGAGUCUAAAACCUGCUCUGAUAGGGGUGGGUAAUCUUUUGAAUGUGCAUCGUGAUUGGGAUAGAUGAUUGCAAUUUUUCAUCUUCAACGAGGAAUGCCUAGUAAACGCAAGUCAUCAGCUUGCAUUGAUUACGUCCCCGCCCUUUGUACACACCGCCCGUCGCUCCUACCGAUUGAAUGAUCCGAUGAAUAUCAUGGAUUGAGGAUGCAAGUAGGUUCGCCUAUCUUCAUCUUCGAGAAGUGAAGUAAAUCUUAUCAUUUAGAGGAAGGAGAAGUCGUAACA